rnacentral:rRNA from 1 species
UACGGAGGAUGCGAGUGUUAUCCGGAAUCACUGGGCGUAAAGCGUCUGUAGGUUGUUUGCUAAGUCAGGGGUGAAAUCCUGGAGCUCAACUCCAGAACUGCCUUUGAUACUGGCAACCUUGAGUCCGGGAGAGGUGAGUGGAACUGCGAGUGUAGAGGUGAAAUUCGUAGAUAUUCGCAAGAACACCAGUGGCGAAGGCGGCUCACUGGCCCGAUACUGACGCUGAGGCACGAAAGCGUGGGGAGCAAACAGG